UGCGUCCCUCUUUGAUGAAACUAACGGGGCAAACCAAAUCCCCAAAAAAAUUCAAGUACCCCGCCUUCCCCAAAAAUCGAACCUAAAAAUAUCUGUCAUGGAUUCGGCGAUUGGGGGUCUACAACUCCUCAAACUCGAAACGUCGACGAUCUUAAGGUUUUUCUUGUCCCCAAUAUCAAAGAACUAGGGCUUUUUUGCUAUGGACCUCACAAGUGCGCACCUAUGAGGGUUUUUUUUCAAGAACGAAAAUGUAGGAGGGUUUUUUUUUUCAAGAAUGAAAACGCUCUCACUUCUCUUUGGCCUCUUCAUCAAUCGAUAAUCGCAUUACCUCACGUCACCUCACCUUGCUGACAACCUCGAGGUUUCACUCUUGUUUCCCUAACACUUUCUCAUUUCAAAAUCGCAUUCAUAUUCUUAUUCUUACAGAUACAGUUGGGGUUCCAUCAAAAUCACAUUCAUUUUCUUAUUCUUAUAGAUACAGUCCUUCAUCAAAUGAUUUACCGUUAAUUUUGUUUUAAUCAAAGAAAUCUAAUAUUUUGUUUCCACCUACUCGCAACUCUCACGAUUCAACUAUCGAAAUUCCCCGUUCGGAAACCCUAAUUUUUAUUGAUGACAUAGUAAUCUCACGUCAAUAAUGAAAAUUGGUGACUUAGAUUCUUGUUCAAAGUUUUUGAAAGAUAGGAUGGCAAUGGACCAGAAGGUUGAUGAGGUUAUCAAGAAUGGAAGGGAACAGGUAAGUAAUGGUGGAAGUUGGAACUCCGCCAAGGACAUAGCUCUACUCAAUGCUUUAAAAGUUUUCCCAAAAGAUUCAGCCUUGAGGUGGGAGAAGAUCACAACUGCUGUUCCUGGAAGAUCAAAGCGGCUUGCAUGAAGAGGGUUGCUAAUCAUAAAAAAAAUUUACCACUCAAAUGAAAUGAUGUUUUUUAGAAGUGUUACUUAUUGUCCUUAAUUGUGUUCAGUGACAACAUUUGAAGAAUAAAACAGAAAGUAUUGCAAAGAAGAUAGAACUCCUGGAAAUAACUAAAAGGAAACAUUUGGGAGAAGGUUUGGGAUCAAGCACCAUUGAUGAACUACAAAAGCUUGAACAACAACUAGAGAGGAGUGUAUCUAUCAUUUAUGCUCAAAAGGUUGACUUUUAUCACAAAAAAGAAUAAGAAGUUGACUCUAAAAUAUGGAUUUUCAUUCAACUGAGCUUGAAAUUCUUUGAUUUAUUUUGACUUUAAUUGUUAGUGUUUCAAAUGCAAGUAUAUAAUGAAUAAAUUCAGGAACUACAAGCAAAGGUACAAUACAUAAAUACAAGUAUAUAAUGAACCAAUUCUGUUUUUUUGUUUAUAUUUUUUCUCUAGUAUAGACAGUUUAAUAAUCAUUUUUUCUAAUUUCAAACCAAAAAAAUGACACAAGUUAUUUAUUUUCGGAUUCCUCCAACUUCUUAUGAACAGCUUCCUUGGAAGGCAAUGAUGGAAUCGCUCCUCUCUCUGUAACUGUAAUGGCCCCACAAAUAUUUGUAAACCUCAAUGCAUCUCUCAGCUUCUUUUCAUCCUAAAAUGGGGCAUGACAUAAAUCUUUUAAAAAUCAAUAUAUUCAGAAAAUGAUUUUUUCCGCCAAAAUUUUAAAAUGUUUAACCUUAAAUAAUUGAGCAUUUUUGGCCAAACUGAGAAGGAGUCCUCCAACAAAAGCAUCACAUGCAUCUGUUGUAUCAACAGACUUCACCUUAACACCACCAACUUUCCCAUGAAAAUCCUGAAAAUAAAACUUACAAAUAGAUAUCAAUUAAGAUAAUCCAACAAUCGUAUUCAAUUUACAAAAAUAACGUUAGUGUAGUAUCUGCAACCAUUAGGACCUUCUGUGACUAUCAAAAACUUGAGAUUUGGGUGAAAAAGUUUGGUCAAUACAACUUUGUCAUCAUAGGGAUCAUCACCUCAGUCAUGAACACAAUUUAUCUUCACUAAUCUGUAAUUUCCUGAAAAGUCAAAAACCCAUCAAAAGGUGUAAGUCAAAAAAAUUCAACCUACUAUGAAAUUGUGCACCUUGAUAACAUCUGGCUUGAUCCCAAAUGCUCAGGAUGCUUUUUCGAGUAGCCUCAGGUGACGGCCAUAAAGGUAGUCUCAAAUUACGAUCAUAUGAAAGAAUGCUUUCUGCUUUUUUAGCAAUUUUCAAUGCAGGUAAGUGAGCUGAUUUGCAUGGAUCUUUAAUCAAACUAAUGGAUCCGUAGUGAAAGAUUGUCGGCUGGUUAAAUAAAAAAAGAUGGUUACAAUUUAAUCUUUCUAAAUAUACAACCAUCAAAAAUGGAUGCUUGAAUGUACCUUUUGGAUCAAAUCUGUAUCGAGUUCUACCUCUGUGAGAAGCAUAUCGGCAUUUGGAUGGCGGAAGAACAUGAACUCACGCUCUCUAUCGGCUCUUAGGGUUACAAAUGCUAAUCCGCUUCUUGCUUGUUUAUCAAAUCUCAUUCCUAUGUUAUUAACAUUGUUUUCUUUUCCUAGCACCAAUAAUGUCAUGUAUACACCUAACCUGAUCUUCCUGACUUGUUUGUGUAAUUUUUCAAAAUUAUGGUUGGUGGAUUGAGCUGACAGAUAUUUAUUUUCUAACUUAUAUAGUGGAAUUGUCCAAAAAUGACGAGAAAAAGUAUAAAGCAAUGAAGUGCGCUACAGAACGAGAGAUAUCUCAAAGUGCUGAUGUUAUCUGUUACACAUGUGUUGGUUCCCGAGAUCCUCGGUUGGCAAAUUUUAGAUUUUGUUGUUGGCUUCAUUCAAAUUCUGGGACCAAAAGAGUCCCAGGGGUGUUUUUGGAAAAUUUAGUUUUUUAAACUUUUUUGAGUUAUAUUAGGAGUCUAACUCUUUUAGUAUAUUUUGGAACUAUGCCUUAGAUGCCUUUUUUACCUCUACUUUACGGGUUCAGUAUCAGAUGCAUCCAUCACUAGUAAUGUAGUCUCUGCAUGCUUUUCGUUCAUAUGUUCUUUUACACUUGUAAGCGUCAGCAUCAGGUUGUUACUGCUUUGGAAUUUUUCCAUGCCUUGAGUAUAUUCUCACGUAACUAAUGCAUGUUAUAACUAGUAGGGGUACCCUGAUUAUAGGGACCAAAGUUGUAACUAAUGAAAGUUAUAACUAGUAGGGGUACCCUGAUCACAGGGACCAAAAUUGUAACUAAUGCAAGUUAUUAGUUAUAAGGACUGGAACUGUAGUUAUCGAAACUAAAAAUCACAGGGAUUAAAUCUACAUAUUCAAAACUAUAGUAUAGGGGCUAAAACUAUACCUAUCUUAAUUUAACAACUAUAGGGACCAAAAAUAUAAUUGAUAUAAAUUAUAAACUGCAUGGAAUGAAAUAUAUUAUUGAAAUAAAAAAAAUACAUUGGGUAAAUCUAUAAUUACUGAAAUUUAAAACUAGAGGGACCAAAAAUGUAUUUAUUAAUCCAGGGACCUAAAAAGUAAAAACACGUUACUAUUCCAUUAAUCCAGGGACCAUUUCUUUACUUGCAUAGUACAAUCCAGGCACCAUUUCUGUAAUUUCAUAUUAUAAAAUGAUUAGCGUCCUCAACCUUUCAUUUUUUGUUUUCUAUUACAGUAUUUGUACUCUCAAUUUUUCUUCUCACUGGGAAACUUAGUCCGACAGCAAGCAAUGGAAACACAGAAGUUUACAUGAAUGGAAGAGAAAUCACAAAACUUGAGCUGAAAGUACUGAAGUGUGCAAUGUCCUCAAGACACACAUUUAUGGGUUUAUGAUGAUGGGCGUUAUGAGGAAGAAGGUCAAAAUAAUAUAAAGGGAAAUAUUUAGGAAAAGGUCAGCCACAAAGAGAAAGAAAUGACGACAACAAUUACACAACUGUUCCAAAUUACUUUGAGCCCCAAAAGAUUCAAAAGCUUUUAUUACUUGGACUCGAGGGUUCUGGAACAAUCACCAUCUUGAAGCAGGUUGAUCCUGCUACAUGGUCAAUAAUGAUCUUUAGGGUCUGCUACAAGGAUUGGAGAUUGCAGUUGAGCUUCUAACUAAGACUUCAAGCCAAGUACUUGAUGAAUUUAAGCUAGCAAUGUUUUACUUGAUUUGGACAUGAACCCUAAGAUAUCAUACUUUGGCAUGGCCAGAAGCUUUGGAGGAAACGAGACUCAAGCAAAAGCAAACACAUAGAGAUUUGUUGGCACAUAGUAAGCAAGAUAAUGCAAUUGUAUAUAAAUUCUACUUCUCUUGAGUUCAUUUUUUUUAUAACAUUCACUCACUAUUGGAAUAAUUAUUUGUAUUUGACAUAUUAGUGAAAGGAAUUAACUUUGUUA